CCACCUCUUCCCAUUCCGAACAGAGAAGUUAAGCCCACCUGCGCCGAUGGUACUGCAAUGCAAUGCGGGAGAGUAGGAAGCCGCCGUCU
rnacentral:rRNA from 1 species